rfam:Bacillus thuringiensis serovar israelensis ATCC 35646 sq1831, whole genome shotgun sequence.
AUAUACGCGUUGAAAGAAUCGCAGUAGUAUCUUAUAUCCCUGUUACAGAGAGCUAAUGGUCGGUGGAAAUUAGCACAUAUAUAAGUAUGAAUUACAAUUCUGGAGCUUCUUUUUCGUAGUGCUUUUAUGCAUGAAGGAAAAGACGGAAUUUUUCCGUUAUCAUUAAUUGAGAUGUAAGUAUAUUUCCACUUACAAAUAGGGUGGUACCGCGAUUCUUUCGCCCCUAUC